UCACCAUUUUUUCCCUUCGCCAUUUUUUGCCACCGCAUUCCCCCUUGCCUUCCCGAUCCCUAAGUAUUUUCGUCCAACCUAUGAUCUCUUCAGCUACUUCAUGUUUUCUUUCUUGAUCUCUUCACACCGGCGAACCCCAUCUAUGUCGGUGAACCCCUCUCUACCUAACCCUUCCACGUUGCCUAAACGCCUUUGUGUUUCCCCCCCCUUCGCGUUUUCCUUCCUAAACCUAAACGCCUAAAGGCCUUCCCGAACUCUAAGAUGCAAAACAAUCUCCGUCCAACCUACGAUCUCUUAACCUACCUCUCUACUUUUUUCUUACCCUCUCUACCUAUGAUUUGCCUCUCUUUUAUUCAUUAAUAAAUAGAACCUUUCGUCGUGCAGCGCCGACGCAGUAGCUCGUUGAUCUCCAAUGCUGUAGCUUUGGAAGAGGAAUGCUAGCACUGGCGGUAGCAAAGAGUCGACCCAGGUGGUGGCACCGCCAGCACCGAUGGGUAAACGGGCCAGGAAGAUGGUGAGGGAUAUGAAGAUACUAAUUUAGGGGAAAAGAAGGCGACAUUGUUCUUUGGCUCGCAGAGCGACACCCCUGAGAGGUUCGUGAAGGUUAAGUUUCUGAGCUUUUGAUCCUUUCUCACUUCACAUUCCUUGAAACUAGAGAUAUAAUUUCCUUAGAUUCCCUCUAAGAGUAUAUUUUUGAGCAAACAUUAGCAGACAAGGUCAAUGCAAGGUACAAGAAGGUCAUCUUCAAAGUCGUCGAUUUGAAAUUUUGUGCAACUUAUCUUUGAGCAUUAAGUGAAGAAAAAUUCUAGAGCAAAUGCUUGAAUCCCUAAAUUAUCUUCCUGAAAAGAUUUCUGGUAACAUACCUACUGAAUUCCGAGACUUAAGGAGUAUUGAGGAGAUUGAUUUGUAAAAAACUACUUGUCCGAUACGAUUCCUGAGGAACUUGGACUGCUUCAAAAUCUGAUCACACUGAAUUUGGAAACAACAAUUUGUUUGGUGGUCUCACAACUCUCACUGACUGCCCAAGUUUCAUUGCCCUAGGAAGAUUUACAGCAUGUUGAUGCUGUAAUAGGUGGAACUAUUCAAACCUCUGUGAACAAUGUCAUUGAUGAGGUACUUGGGUCCUGUGAAGUAUUUGAAGAAAGACAAGUUGGAAAUGAACAGUUAACAUUUUUAAUGGUUGCCCUUUUGGUCAGACUGCAACCAUUGUUCUCAGAGGUGGUGCAGAUCAGUUCAUUGAAGAAGCAGAAAGGAGCCUUCAUGAUGCCAUUAUAAUUAGGAGAGCUUUAAAGAACUCUACCAUUGUGCCUGGUGAUGGAACUAAGCCGGUAUUUAAGGGUGCAUGCCCGUACAAUAGCUGGGAAGUCACAGCUAUGCAUCAAUUCAUAUGCCAAAGCUCUUGGUUUUGAAGAUAAUCUCGGUCUUUGUGGCUAUUGUUUAAGCUCUCCUUGCCACUUCCAUCCACCACAUAGAGAAAGAGAGUUGGUAUUAAGAAGACGUCGAUGACAGUAAAUAAGCCAAAUGUUAUUAAGCAAAAAGCUUUGCCACAAAUCAAGGAGACUUUCUUUCUUAAAGCUUCUGCUAUCACAAGGGAUUUACCUGAAGAUUAUGUUGAGAGGGUGAAACAAGUUCACCAAGUUGGUGGUUAUGGAUCCAAAGGGUUAUUGAUCUCCUGGUGCUUUAUCAAAGGGGUGGAAAGAUUGGACUUUCUGAUAGAGCUAGUGUGGGGAAGACUGGAUUUAUUAUGGAACUGAUGAUCAACAAUAUUG